AGCAAUCCCUGAGUAAAGUGGCGUACGGGUGAGUAACACGUGGGUAAUCUACCUUUUGGUGGGGAAUAACGCUGGGAAACCGGCGCUAACACCGCAUGAGCCUGAGAAGGGAAAAGAGAAAUCUGCCGAAAGAGGAGCCCGCGGCUGAUUAGCUAGUUGGUGAGGUAAAGGCUCACCAAGGCAAUGAUCGGUAGCCGGCCUGAGAGGGCACACGGCCACACUGGCACUGAAACACGGGCCAGACUCCUACGGGAGGCAGCAGUGGGGAAUCUUGCACAAUGGGGGAAACCCUGAUGCAGCGACGCCGCGUGAGUGAUGAAGCCCUUCGGGGUGUAAAGCUCUUUCGGCAGGGACGAUAAUGACGGUACCUGAAGAAGAAGCUGCGGCUAACUACGUGCCAGCAGCCGCGGUAAUACGUAGGCAGCGAGCGUUGUUCGGAGUUACUGGGCGUAAAGAGUGCGUAGGCGGUUUUCUAAGUUUGGUGUGAAAUCUCCCGGCUCAACUGGGAGGGUGCGCCGAAGACUGGAAGGCUAGAGUAUGGGAGAGGUAAGCGGAAUUCCUGGUGUAGCGGUGAAAUGCGUAGAUAUCAGGAGGAACACCUGCGGUGUAGACGGCUUACUGGACCAUCACUGACGCUGAGGCACGAAAGCGUGGGUAGCAAACAGGAUUAGAUACCCUGGUAGUCCACGCCCUAAACGAUGCAUACUUGGUGUGGGUAGUUCAUUCUAUCCGUGCCGGAGCUAACGCGUUAAGUAUGCCGCCUGGGGAGUACGGUCGCAAGGCUG
rnacentral:rRNA from 1 species